rnacentral:lncRNA from 12 species
UCUGUCUUUAGCUCAGAUCAUGAUCUCAAGGUCCUGGGAUCAAGGACCUAGUGAGGAGUCUGCUUCUCCCUCUCUCUCUACCCUCUCCCCCGCUUAGGUACUCUUGUGUUCUCUCUCUUGCUUGCUCUCUCUCACGUAAAUAAAAUCUUAAAAAAAAAAAAAGAUGAACAAUCUACAGAGAUACUCAAUGUGGGAGAGUCUCACAACUACAAUGUAGAAUAAAAGCCCAGCACACGAGAGCAUAGACUCCCUGUGUGAUUCCAUGUACACGAAGGACAAAAGUAGGCAAAACUGAUGGAUAGUGUUAGAAGUCAGGUGCUGGUUGGGACAUGAAGGAGUUCUGGGUGCUGGUUACAUGGGCAUGUCAGAAAAAUUAAUCAACUGGCACCCUUAUGAUAUCUGCACNNNNNNNNNNCCGACGCCCGCGGCGACCGGAUGCAGGUCCGGGUCCCAGCGGUCUGCGGGGGACCCACGGCGCCUCCGAGGCGCAGGCCUCCGCUGCCGCCUUCCGGCCCUCGCCCGGGUCCGGAGCCUUCGGGAGGGGCCGCGGGUGCCUCACGCGUUGCCGAGCCCCCCGGACAACAUGGCUCCCGGGCCGCCGGGCCGCCGGGCCGCGCGGGCAGCCCACUAAUCCCCUCGGAGGGGCCCGGGCGGGAGCGAGGCCGGGCAGGGAGGUGCCGGCGCUCGGCUGAGGCGGCCCGCCCGGACCGGGGCUCCUUCUUCUCUGCGGCCGGACCCGGAGGAGCUCGGGAGACCGCGGGCGGCCGCUCCCGUUCGCUGCGUGUGCGUCGCUUUCUCGCUCGGCGACUGCGGAUUGACGCCUCCGCCUGUUCCCCGGAGGAGAGCGAGCGAGCGAGCGAGCGAGCGAGAAAAAAGACUUUUAUUGAAACGAUCCAACCAGCAGCAGCGGAGAAAAGCGACCCGCCGCGGGAGCUUCCCCCACCCCCGCCUGAGCGGCUCGCGGCGGGCAGCGCGACCCCUGCUGGCGGCGGCCGCGGGGCGGGGCCGGCGGGCCGGGGGCGGGGCCGGGGCGGGCGGGGCCCGGAGGGCGGGGCGGGGCGGGGUAUCCCCGGGAAACCCCCCGCCCGGGGGUGGGGGCCCUGCUCCCGGCGGCCGAGCUCCUGGAGCCGCGGGAGGGAGGUGAGAGGGCGAGAAGGUUCGGUAGAGCCACUCCGCGGGCAUCGGGAACGAGAUUACCCCGAUUGGAAUUACUCCUUUAGAAAGCCAAAGAUUGUCCUGAUUGCCUCAACUGAAGCUGCUAAAGAGCACCCUUUUUUCUUCCUAUAUCUUUUAUUACCAUAA